CCCUUAGAUGUUCUGGGCCGCACACGCGCUACACUGAAGGAGGCAGCGUGUACUCCUGGAUCGAAAGAUUUGGGUAACCCGCGAAUCUCCUUCGUGCUAGGGAUUGAGGUUUGCAAUUAUCCUUCAUGAACGAGGAAUUCCCAGUAAGUGCAAGUCAUAAGCUUGCGCUGACUACGUCCCUGCCCUUUGUACACACCGCCCGUCGCUACUACCGAUUGAAUGAUUUAGUGAGGACUUCGGACUGGGACCGAUGCGGCUUUCGGGCUGCGUCGGUAUUCUGGAAAGAUGUCCAAACUGUAUCAUUUAGAGGAAGUAAAGGUCGUAACA
rnacentral:rRNA from 1 species